rnacentral:SRP_RNA from 1 species
UAUACUAUUCAUGGAGCAACAGUUUUGCGUGAAGCGGGUCAGGGGAGGAAUCCAGCAGCCCUAAGCGAAGUAAACUGUGUGCUCUUUUCUAUUGCUCUUAAU